GACACUUUGGCCGAGUGGUUAAGGCGCGGGACUGCUAAUCCCGUUCAUUCGUGAGCGAGAGUUCGAAUCUCUCAGGUGUCG